GUAUAUCUAAAGGAUUAAGAAUUUCCAAUUGAUGUUUGUAUAUAGAAAUGCACCUAAUCUGUGUAUAUUCAUCUUGUAUCUACAACCAAGAAACUCAAUGAACUUUGGUACUCUGUGAAUGCUAGAAAAAUAGUGAAAAUCAUGGAGCAACAAAAGAAUUAUCUUUUUUCUUAUGUGAAGUAUAUAUGGGCAUUUGAGAACUCACAAGAGAUGGUUCAUGUCAUUACUGGGGCUGAAGAAAUAAGAAAAAAGAAUGGUUAUUGGAAUCUGAAAACUGGGAGUGCCGAGUGGAUAGAGCUGUGUAACAGGACCUGUGGCCUUAGGCAAGUGACUUAGCCGUGCCAUGCCAACUCUGUUGGGAGAGUCAAGGAACUGGCUCUUACACUUUUGAGAUGCUCAACAAAAGCUGCGUGUAUGGAUGCAUCAUUGGUCAAGAUUGCAAGCCAAGUUGUGACAGGAAAAUAGAAAACACACUGGGCAUUUCAACAAAGAACUUUUAUAGAAGGAACUAUAGAAGCAUAGGUAUGGAGAGCUGAAAGGGUGAAAAGAGAACAUGAGGGUAAUAAUAGCAGGAAGCAAGUGUCACCCCCAGGAAACAGACUGUAAUUCUUAGAACCUAGUCUUAGAGGAAGAUUCCAGUGGAGUUUGACCUCAGACCUUUGAGGAGGAGUACUGCUGGCUGAUCGUGCUGUUAGAGAUUAUGCAGUGAGGCUGGUUCUGAGAAUAGCAAAGAAGCUGAAGCCUGCAAUCAACAGCUGCUAUUAGCUUCAUGUCUUCCUUCAGCACCCUCCAUUGUCAGAGCCUGACAGAAAGCCAGCAGUCCAAAGAGAAAUACAGUUUGCAAAGUUCCAGCCCAAGCCUCACAAAGCACAGCCUAGAUGGGUGAGUUUAAAGCGAGAGGUAACUGAGUUAAUAGCAAGUAUCUACAGUCAAAUGUCUGGCUACUGAGUGAGCACACACACUCUUCUACAGAUACCCGAACUUCAACAAAACUGCAAUUACAACACUAUGCUCCUGACUAAAAUGAUGUAAGUCUUCUGUGGCAUAUGAAGAUGCUUUACUGCGUCUCUAUAAAAGGGAGACACAAAGUUCCAAAGGUCAUGGCAUCCCCAUGAGAUUUACUAAAAGCUAAUAAGUUGGAUCUUGAAUCAUCAUUAGCCCAUAUUCAGCCUGUAUUACAGAAGCCUAGAAGUUCAUACCAGAAGAGAUGUCUUUGAAGAGAAUUUUUAGGAGUAGCAAGUGCUCUGGGAAAUGGGAUGAGGUCCUCUUUCUGUACUCAGCCUCAAGUGAAAGUGAGUUCAAACAGAAAAUGCUUUUCUUCUAAAACUCCAAUUCAGACCUGCUUCUUGUUAUUGUCAGCGCAGGACUAGAGAUUUUUGGAAGAACUUUGCAUGGAUACUUGUUUGGAGUUCCUGUGCCUGUGUCAUACAGGCUGGAUAAGCUUAAUUUCCAAAGGUUGCAGUGGCAAAAAUUGUGAAUUUUCCUAAGGACUAAGUCAGUUGAUGGAGACUACUCAGAUUGAGCCUCCUUGAAUAAGUAAAUAAGUACAUAGUUAAAGAGAAUAAAAGGGUAUUAUAGGGUGAAAAAGGUAGCAAUAAUUUAUGUGCAAUAAAUAAAAUAUACUUUUCAGUGAUAAGAAAAUGAAUACAGAGAUUCUGUUUCAGGAAACUUGACAUAUCAAAUAAUAUAGAAAAAUAAGCAAAAAUGCUCUUUCUACAAUAUAUAUGAGAAGCCUGAAGAAAAUUUCACUAAUGCCUUUCAACUGCAGAGCUGACUUUAUAGGAAAUUUAAAAAAGACUGUAAAUCUAACUGUAUUAAUUAAAAUUCAAGCUGCAGCUCCAAUGAAGAUAUGUCCUGAUCCAAGAACCUUGAGAUGGAGUAAUAAUCAGGAAGAAGAAUCCCCAGAUUUGGUGAUUGAUAUGGUUUGGCUGUGUCUCCAUCCAAAUCUCACCUUGAAUUGUAAUAACCCCCACAUGCCAAGGAUGGGGCCAGGUGGAGAUAAUUGAAUCAUGGGGGUAGUUUCCCUCAUACUGUUCUCAUGGUAGUGAUUAAGUCUCACGAGAUCCGAAGGUUUUAUAAAUGGGAGUUCCCCAGCACACACUCUCUUGCCUGCCGCUGUGUAAGAUGUAACUUUGCUCCUCAUUCACCGUCAGCCGUGAUUGUGAGGCCUCCCCAGCCAUGUGGAACUGUAAGUCAAUUAAACCUCUUUCCUUUAUAAAUUACCUUGGGUAUGUCUUUAUUAGCAGCAUUAAAACUGACUAAUACAGCGAUUAACUAGAUAUCAGGAGUAAAGAAGCCAAAUGGUUAAGGGGUGAUUGAAUAAAGGAGAAAAGUUUUCAACUUGAGAAAGUAGUGGGAAGUAAUUUGGGAGGCAGAAAUAGAAACAAUUUCAGUCCUAAGCAAAACUUGAUAGCCUGUUGUGACGUCUUGGUGGUCCGGUGCCUGGGAGCACCGGGACAGAGGAACAAAACUUAGAAGUCACCAGUAGACAUAAAGAUGAUGACUGUUGCUGUGAGAAGUAGUUAAGAUUGUUAAGGAAGGAGGGACUGUAGAGAGGCUCUGGGAUGAAAGUAACAUGGAGAAACACCACUAUGUAAUGGCUGGGUAGCAGAAGAGGGGCCUAUGGUGGGGUGUGUAAAUGGGUUUCUAUGGAUAUAGAAGAAAAUGACUUAGACUCCACAAAAGGAAUGCUCUUAAAGGAUAAAAAGGUUAAUCAGUGGACUGAGAAGCUGCCUAGAGCUUGAGGCUAGAAGUUUGAGACCAGCCUGAGCAACACAGUGAGACCUCAUGUCAACAAAAAAUAAACUAAAAAAGUUAGCCAGGCAGGUUGGCAUGUGUCUGUAGUCUCAGCUACUUGGGAGGCUGAAGUAGGAUGAUCAUGUGAAGUUUGAGGCUGACGUGAACUAUGUGAAACUGCACUCUCGCCUGGAUGACACAGUAAGACCCCUGUCUAAAAACAAACAAAAAAACAAAACAAAACAACAAUGACAAAAACAAACCAAAAAAACAAACCUGCCUAGCGAUCAGACUAGAAGUGGAAGCAAGCCCUGGAUUUAGUAACAAGGAGAAUUUGGGAGAAUUUAGGAGUCUUUAUUGAGAAUAGGUUAGCUAUUAAUCUGUCGAAGCAGUAUUUAAUCUCCUGCUCCUUUCAAAUUCCCACCUUCCUUUCAGAGGGUCCUUAUUCAUCAUUCUAUUUUACAUAUUAGAAAACUGGGGUCAGAGAGAUUUACUCAGUUGACUAAGGCAGGGGCCAGCCAACUGUGACUGUGGGCCAAGUUCAGUUUACUGUUUGUAUCUGAAAGCUAAGAAUGGUGUUAACAUGUGUAAAUACAUGGUUACAUUUAAAUGAUUGUAUAAGUGCUUAUAUAAUAUUGUUGAUUUUCCCUUUCCAUUCUCAAAGCCUACUACUGACUUUACAGAAAAAGUUUCUUGACCUCUGCAGCCUGUCUUAUAGUAAGUGAAAAUGAUAGGAUAAAAGUCUUCUGUUCAUUCCACUUCCAAAACAACUCAGCCAGUCAAUAGAACAAACCUCCCAUUCUCUAACAAACAAAAAUAACCUCCAUGAAUUAGCUACAUAUUAAUGCAAAAUAUUAUUAAAUACCAAAGAAUCAAAAUGUAAAUGCAGCCUGAUAGCAGAGAUUUCAAAAAAUCUUCUUAGAAUGAUCUUCUGGACUUGGUCUUCAAUAGUUUUGUGUAGUUUAAGAAUCAAUCAAAUAUUUUCAAUCAAAUAAAGUAUCUAGAGGAUGAGAUGUUUCUUGCUGAAACAUUGUCCUAACUAAAUCACAUAUGUAGGCUGGGGAAAUAAAGAUUUGACCUAAUUUUGAUAAUUUAAAUGCAAAAUAGUUUUUAUCUUCCAGAGAAGAGGAAAAGUUAGGAUUUUGACUUUAUUUUAUGUAUGAAAUAUAUUAGAAUUUUAAAACUUUAAAAAUACAUCUUAUGGCCCUUCUAGUUCCUUAAUUUGUAGUAUUGGUAGAUUUUUAAUAGAUAUCAAGAGUAAUUAAUUUAUUCACUCUGGGGAAGUAUUUGAUAUGCUGAGUCAAUUAAUGAAUAAAAGAACCCUGUUCCUUCUCUUUUCCCACAGAAUAACAAAGGGGCAUGAGGGAGGGCAUACUCUAUCUCAAGAGGAUAAACAUUAGUUUUAUCUCCUCUUUUAGAAGCUGCAUACCCAUAAGACAAACUUUUUAGUAUCCUUGAUUUUGUGACAUCAAUUUUAAGUUGGAGAGUUGGGGGAUGCAGAAGGAAGUGUUGAUCAAGUGAAGGGCUGGUCCACUCUAUUGCCGGUUCACUGUCAAUAUCAAAUGAAAUAAUGCAAGUGAAAUUACUUUAAAAAGUAUACAUAAAUGUAGGAGGUUAACUUUUUCUAAGAGAAAUAAGAAAAUACAUCCAAUUAAAAUUGUAAAUUUUAAAAAACAGUGACGUAUCUGUCAUGGUAAAUAGUAAAAUAAAAAGAUUUGACUUAAACAAUUCUCCUAACAAAUAAAACUAAAAUAUAUUUUCCCUUGUACAGGUAGGGUAUAAAAGAAAUACAAAGAAUUAGAUUUCUCUCACUUUUCAAGGAAAGUACAAUGGGAAUUCUUUGAAUAAGAUUAAAUUCAAACUGUGAAAACAAGCCAAAACCUAAACUUUAAUUCUACUCAAAAGUAAAUGACAAUAAUAAAGAUAUUGUUAUUUAGCAUGAAGAGAAUAUGGAAUUUGGGGUCAGUAAAAUGGUCAGGAGCAUAAUUUAACAACAUUGAAUACUGGCAUGUGCUAUGGUCUGAAUGUGUCCCUCCAAAAUUCAUAUAUUGAAAUCCUAGCCUUCAGUGUGAUGAAAUUAAGUGGCAAGGCCUUUGGGAGUUGAUUUUGUCCUAAGGACAAAACCCUCAUGAUUAGGAUUAGUGCCCUUAUAAAAGAGAUCCCAGAGAGCCAGUUUGCCUCUUGUGAGGACACAGCCGGAAGGUGCCCUGUAUCAGCCAGAGAACAGGCCCUCACAAGGUACCAAAUCUGCCUUGAUUUUGUACUUCCCACCCUCCAGAACAGUGAGAAAUAAAUUUCUGCUGUCUAUAAGCAACCAAUUGUAUGGCAUCUGUUGCGACCAAUUUUAUGCCCUGACUGGACUAAGACAGCAUGAAUAUGUUCAUGUAAUAUAAUAAUAUUCAUACAAUGUGAAUUAUUUUAAAAACUAGACUUAUAGUUUGCACAAAACAGAAUAAAAUAUUUAAGUGAAAAAAAUGGGCAGUUUGAUUUAAUACAAAUUGUCUAUCAGAUAAAAUGACAAUAAAUUACUUAAAGCAUACUUUCAUUUAUUUUUAAAAUGUUAAUAACGUUUUAAUUUGAAUAUAUAUUACAAAUAAAUAGAAUCACUGUUUACACUGAAGAUCAAGAGCUUCAGGGAAGAAAGUCAAGUAGCUUUAUGGUUACCAUUAUUAAGGAUCACACAGGCAUUAAAUGAAGAAGACAGCAAAUUAUUCUUCAUUUCUUUAAUCAUGUGGUAACAAAGAUAUAGACCUAUGAGUGUAAUUUGAUACGAACUUUUAGACCAUGGUGAGACAAAAUGGAGGGAGUUGCAUGGUAGGAAAGAAAUAUGACCCUAAGGGAGUAGCAAAUAAAAAGAGAAAUGAUUAAAAAACAGGUGUCCUGAUGUGGCUUGUCUAAAUUAAAAGAGAAGGCAGAGUUUUAAAAAAUUGUAUAAGUAUGUAUAUCCAAGUUUGUGUAGUUGAGUAACUUCUGGGUUACUCUAGGCCUGUUUCUUCUUCCACUGACUACUUUGUCGUUCCAGUAUAAAUAAAUCAAGAUUUGCAAUACCUGUGAUUGACUGGAAACUAAUUCCUAGGUAAGAUUAGAGAACUCACAUUCCUUAGAGGUAUCAGGGAAGAUUGAGACACCUGGCAUGGGAGAAAGUGACACAGAGAAUCAAAAUUCUUGACCAAUCUUUUAUCUAGCAUUUUUGAAAUCACAUAAAUUUUAACCUGGCAUUUUGAUUAUAACAAGCACGGUUGUAAACCCUUACAUACAUAGGGAAAAAAUGUCCCCCAAAUUUCACAUGGCCCACUUUGCUAGACGAAGAGACUUGUGCUAACGAACAUUGGAUUUUAAUUCUCAGCCAUGAAUUUAUGUUAAACAAUUCUCUUUGGCUGUAAGCCAAUGACAUUAUGUUUAGAAAGUCUUGGGACUUUCUAGAUCAAGAAGAAAAUGAUUGUAAAUCCAUAUUUCAAUUUUAAUUUUGUUUGAACAGAAGUAACAUUUCUUCAGCAUUUAUAAGUUCUAUGUAUUUCCACUUGGGGAGAAAUGGACACUGCUUUGUCACCCUACACAUCAACCUAUCAGAAAAAAUUUUUUUUGAGCUUUGGGAAUUUCACAUAACUGUUUGCCUCCAAUAUUUAAUACAUUAGAGCAAUAUAGCCAAUAAUCUUAUGAUUUCUCAAUGUCUCAAAUGAUUUCAGAAAUUUGAUUCAAUAAUUUCACUUUUGAAUUAUAUAAGAUCUUAUUAAAUAUCUACUAAGAAAAUGAAGCCAUAAAUCAAUCCCUCUGUUUCAAAUUGCUUUGAAAGUGGGUUCCCCUUUUCUCCCAUUGCAAUGCUAUUUCUGAUAAUAGUUUAAUGAUAUACUUUUGUAUGGUAGGGAAGAUCAUCAUAUUAUGAUUUCUUUUCUAGACCAAACUUGAAAAAGUGAUUUGUGGAAGCCCUGCUUUCGAUAAAGUUGGAUCCUUUCUGAGCAGUGUAUAAAUUUGAUCAGAAAUGUUGGCAGUCUUUGGUACCAAAGCAUGAAAUCGAGAAAUAAUGAAGCAUGAAGCUUCUUUUUUUACCAAACCAGAGAAACCAGAUGUUAUUACAGAGACCUGUCUUUACAGAGUACUGAGAUUUUUUUCCUAGUCAAAUGUGGCUGCUAACACUAACACACACAAACGACAAUUUUGAAGAGGUUGACAAUCUCUAAAAUUUCAAACAGGAGCCCUUAAAGUAGUCAGGCUUUUGUGACUGCAUCAGCAGCACAUAAUGCACUAAACUCAGGAAGUGGAUGUGAUGCAGGAGAAUAGGGUCUGGAGGCAGGCAGCACGAGUCUGAUUCAUGCUGACUUACUAGAACGAGAUCAAAUGGAAACACUUCAGCAAUGACAUAAAUGUGAAUGGCUUUGCAACUUCACUUCAUCCUCUCCAUUUACAAAGGCAACAUGCACCAUGUUACAUCUUCUCCAUUUACGUAGGCCACAGGCACCAAGCAACAUCCUCUCCAUUUACAUAGGGCACGUACUGAGUAAAUGACUUUGUAACUUGACUUCAUUCUCUUCAUUUACAUAGGGCAUACAGCAAGUAACCAAUGAGAAACCUCGAGAGAGUAUUGAAACCCCAGAAAAUUCUGUAACCAGGACUCUUGAGCCCCUGUGCUCGGGCCCACUCCCACACUAUGGAGUGUACUUUCAUUUUCAAAAAGAAAAUCUUAAAUCUCUGCUUUUGUUGCUUCACUCUCCUGGCUUUUUUUUUUGUGAGUGUUGUCCAAUUCUUUGUUCAAGAUGCCAAGAACCUGGCCACCUUCGACCAGUAACAGAUGGACUGAGAGAAACCAGUAGAUUCAAAUUAUUGUCCAAUGUAGAAAAAUGGAAAAGUUACCAUAUUCCUUGGUAAUUUGCUUUAGAGUUAUUGAAGAAACUUUAGAGAUAUUAACACAGAUGGCAUUAUACAGAGACAUAGCUGCUUCUGUUUUACUCUGCUCAAAGACAUGAACAAAUUCAACUUAUUCCCAGGGUACAUAACCUAGGGUGUUAUUUCUUUUGUUUGAUAAUAGGAUAAACAGCAUAAUGGGACACUGCAGUGAGGAUGCUUUUGUUUUGAACAAAUCAAAAGGUCACAGUCUGACAAUGAGAUGAACUAAACUGAGAUUUGGAAGGUAGAAGAAAAAAGAGGAUUAUUCUUCAGAAGCCUUUGAAGCCAAGGGUGUGGGCAGAUGACAGACAAGAAGUUCACAGCAGCUUGCUGACAACAUCCUACAUCUCACCUGCUUUAGGCUUUGUAUAGCUUAGAUAGCUCAUGGUGACUUCUGGAGAAUUGUUCUCCUUGGUAUUGCAGAUUCAAAUAGUCAGUGGAAGCCACUCAGCAGUUCUUGAGAUUUCAGUGACUUCUGGAGGAAUUUUUAAGAACCAUCUACUUUAGUGCCAUAGGCUGGAAAUAUUGGUGAGAGCUUCCCUUUCUUUACUCUCCGAUCCAUACAAUGGUUUUGAAAAACUUUUAGUUUCUUCUAUUGAAAUCCUUCAUACUUGGAAUAAUAAAAUAGCUUCUAUUUUCAUGACCAAACAUUGACUAUUACAAAAAUAUUUCCCCUUAUUUGAGAGCCAAUACACAUGAUAGAAUCUAUACAUGAUAGAUGUGUAGAGGACAAGAUUGUUAUAUGUUUUGGAUAAGUUAGAGAACCUAGCCAGUACUCUUUCUUGAAUGGUAGGCCACCCUACUUUCAAUUCUCCUGUGCUGGUAGACCAGAGGUACUACAGAGUCAAAGAGAGAAACACUCAGAUUAAAAUGAACAAAUAAAAAAUAAAAUUUAAAAAUGUUAUAUUGUUCUUUGAGAAAUAUUUUGUAAUCUGCCUGCUC
rnacentral:lncRNA from 10 species